UACGGAGGAUGCGAGCGUUAUCCGGAUUUAUUGGGUUUAAAGGGUGCGUAGGCGGUCCGGUAAGUCAGCGGUAAAAGCCCGGGGCUCAACCCCGGCGAGCCGUUGAAACUGUCGGACUAGAGACGGCGAGAAGUACGCGGAAUGCGCGGUGUAGCGGUGAAAUGCAUAGAUAUCGCGCAGAACUCCGAUUGCGAAGGCAGCGUACCGGCGCCGGACUGACGCUGAGGCACGAAAGCGUGGGUAUCGAACAGG
rnacentral:rRNA from 1 species